GCGCCUUUCUGGCGCAUCGGAGUGAUCGAAAUGGCUUGCUAGAGCCAAAUCUCGCGCUACCGCGUCGGUCUACGGAACCGAAGGUCACAGGUUCGAAUCCUGUCGGGCGCG
rnacentral:tRNA from 1 species